AUGGAGAGUUUGAUCCUGGCUCAGGAUGAACGCUGGCGGUAUGCUUAACACAUGCAAGUCGAACGAGAGUUUUUAACUCUAGUGGCGAACGGGUGCGUAAUACGUGAGAAUCUGCCCUUAGGAGAGGAAUAACUGUUGGAAACGGCAGCUAAGUCCUCAUAUGCCGAGAGGUGAAAAGUUUCGACUGCCUAAGGAUGAGCUCGCGCCUGAUUAGCUUGUUGGUAGGGUAAUGGCCUACCAAGGCCACGAUCAGUAGCUGGUUUGAGAGAAUGAUCAGCCACACUGGGACUGAGACACGGCCCAGACUCCUCCGGGAGGCAGCAGUGAGGAAUUUUCCGCAAUGGGCGAAAGCCUGACGGAGCAAUACCGCGUGAGGGAUGAAGGAUUUUGGUCUGUAAACCUCUUUUUUCAAGAAAGAAGCUCUGACGGUACUUGAAGAAUAAGCAUCGGCUAACUCCGUGCCAGCAGCCGCGGUAAUACGGGGGAUGCAAGCGUUAUCCGGAAUCAUUGGGCGUAAAGCGCCUGUAGGUUGUUUAGUAAGUUUGUUGUUAAAGACUAGGGCUUAACCCUAGGAAAGCGAUGAAAACUAUUAAACUUGAGUAUGGUAGGGGUAGAGGGAAUUUCUAGUGUAGUGGUGAAAUGCGUAGAUAUUAGAAAGAACACCGGUGGCGAAAGCGCUCUACUGGGCCAUUACUGACACUGAGAGGCGAAAGCUAGGGGAGCAAAAGGGAAAAA
rnacentral:rRNA from 1 species